GCGCCUGCUCCAAUAGUGGGACUUUAAUCCCUUCUCCUCCUUCCUACUUUCUUAUCCACGCAAAGUAACCUUAGACUCUCUUUCGGGCUUGACUCAACGGAUGGGCCUUAUUGGCCCAUUAGGGAAUGCAAAGAGUCCGUUUAGACUCCAACGAAUUUCCAUGCAAAAAAGAAAAGAAAAAAAAUAGAGAACAUUAAUACGUGAUUAACGAAGGGACAGAGAAAAAAAAUAAAUACAAAACACAGAAAAUAAAUAAAAUUAUUUAACCCACGACCUGUCAAAGAGGGGAGAAAAAACUAGAUGAAAAUAUUUCGGAUUUAACUAAAAGUAGUAUGAAUCUUUAAAUAAUCAUAAGCCGAUGUAAAAAAAAAAUAGUAAGCCGUAUUCGCAAUUGAUUCAAGUUUAUAGAUUCAGCCUAAACAAAAAAAUUUAAACGUAAUUAAUACAUAUUAUUGACUUGAUUAAAUGUAACAGAUUUUCCACAAUUUGAGUCAAAUCUCCUUUUCAAUAUUUCAUUACUUAAACUGUAAGACUAAGCGUGGUGCAAAGUUUCAAAAUACUGAUGCCAAAAUUAUCACAGAGAAAAAAAACUAUAUCAGAAACUAUACAUCACAUGAAAUUUCUUCUUAGAAACCAAAAACAAAACUCAUGGCAAUUUAACUACAUAAAAAUUAUCCACUUGGGGUAUGUGAAGAACCAAUUGUUAGACUAAGGAUUUUCAGGUGCAUGAAGAUUAUCAAACAAUAUAUGAUGUCGAGAGCAUUUAAACAUUAUACCGAAUUAGCAUUAAACACUUCAAACGAUCAGAAUAUACUCCUAACUAAAUAGAUUGGAGAAGUAAGACACUAGAUAUGAGUAGGAUUUUAAUAAGACACUAGAUAUGAGUAGGAUUUUAAUCUAUCGAAAAAACAUAAUGUUAUGCUAAACAAAAUUCCAAGUUGCAUCAUACAUGGUGCACCCAAAAAUGCAUCUUUUAACUUACAACAACAAUAAACCAGUUUGCACUAAUGACUUAAGCACGCUAAAUUUUCAGUAUAUGCGAGUUCCUAACAAACAACCACAAUGGCAAAGAAAAUCAACACAUAAAAAGACAGGAGAAACUGGAAAAUAUCUGUAAAGGAAAAGCUGAACAACUAAGUGGAAAGAACAUCGUAAACACCAGAUUUAAGGCCUAUUCUAUCUUUUCUCCACGAAUCAGCAAACUGAGAGAUCAAAAAUAUCCUAGAGGAUUUCUAAGCCUAUUAUUACAAUUUGUCGCUGAGAAAUCAUGAACGCUUAGAGAACAGUCGCUAUCAACCCCCAAAAAACAAGAAAAUUUAAACGUCUACUAAACUUGAAGAAACUGUCCUAGAUAAGACAAGUUUAUACAUAAACAAGACAAUACAGAGGAGAUUCAAGAUAGAUAGUGACUGACCUAAACUUACAGCAAAACAGGACAUCUAAUUUAAAGGAGAAAAACGUCAAAUUUCGCGAUGACGAUUAGGCAAAAUCAACAGAAUAAAAUGAGCACAGAUUUUAUACCAAAGGAAAAUAUCAUCCAAAGCAGGAAGGCAUACUCAAAAGACUAACUAAAGAUCACCAAAUCAGAACGUCAAGCAUUUCAUCUCAAACAACAAUCGCAAUCUUUUUUGCGAUACCUACGGCUCUUAAAGCCACUACAGCAAUAACUCCCAGCACAGAAUAUACUAAUCUAAACUACUAAGACUAUCACUAUUACAACGCAGCCAUAUGAGAAAAGAAAAAAAUCAAAGACUAACCUGAUAUUGGGCAGCAAAACGGGAUAACGAGCUAACGUCGAGAUGCACCGCCACCGGAAAUCAGCGCUAUCAACUCAGGAUCCUUCGAUUAACCAGCCAACUUUCAGAAAGAAGAAAGAAAAAGAAAUUUUUUCUCUAAAACGAACUGUUUUUGCACUCCGAAUUUUCUUCCCCUCUCUUCAACCAAAAUUUUCUCCUUCUCCAUUUUUUUUCAAACCCUCCAUUUAGAACCCAAACAAAAACCUCCCCCAUUUUCUCCUAAAACAACCAUUAUAUAGAGAAUAUGCUAGGGUUCAUUUCAAGGCUUCAAUGAUGUGGAGCAAAUUGAAAUUAGGGAUAAUUUCGGGAUUUACCCAUUGGAAAAUUUUCAAAAUUUUCUGGAUGGGGACAAAUAUUUUGGAAUGAUUCCAACAAACUCAACCAAUAGAAAAUUAGGAAGAAGAAAUUCUCCAAUAGCCAACCAAAUUCACCCAUGUAUGUACAAAAUUGUACCAAACCAGCUAAGCCGUACGAAUUUGAACGUUGGGGUGCCAGCUCGACACUUUUCUAGAAGUUUCAACACUCUUACCUUGAAUGGACCCGCGUGAUACGCAUGUGAUGGAGAAGAAAGAGUCGGGUUCGAGUUGGUGAGGGUCGGAACCAUUCUGGUCGAAGAGAGGUCGGGUCAUUGAUGAAGAAGGUUGGGUCGGAGCUAGGUUGGGUCGGAGUCGACGGAAUAAGGGUUUGGGGGUAUCGAGAUCGCUGGUGUUAUUGUCGUUUGUUGUUGUUUGCUGAUGAUGAAGAAACGGGUUAAAGGGGAAAAAGGAGAAUUGGGCUAUCUUGGAAAGUUGUUAUUGUUGUGGGCUGGUUGAGACUAACAAAGAAAAAUGGGCUAGUUAGAGGCGGAG
rnacentral:lncRNA from 1 species